rnacentral:rRNA from 1 species
CCUACGGGGGCUGCAGUGGGGAAUAUUGGACAAUGGGCGAAAGCCUGAUCCAGCCAUGCCGCGUGUGUGAAGAAGGCCUUCGGGUUGUAAAGCACUUUCAGUGGGGAAGAAAGCCUUGGGGCUAAUACCCUCGAGGAAGGACAUCACCCACAGAAGAAGCACCGGCUAACUCCGUGCCAGCAGCCGCGGUAAUACGGAGGGUGCGAGCGUUAAUCGGAAUUGCUGGGCGUAAAGCGCGCGUAGGCGGUCUGAUAAGCCGGUUGUGAAAGCCCCGGGCUCAACCUGGGAACGGCAUCCGGAACUGUCAGGCUAGAGUGCAGGAGAGGAAGGUAGAAUUCCCGGUGUAGCGGUGAAAUGCGUAGAGAUCGGGAGGAAUACCAGUGGCGAAGGCGGCCUUCUGGACUGACACUGACGCUGAGGUGCGAAAGCGUGGGUAGCAAACAGGAUUAGAUACCCCGGUAGUC